UGCAGAUUCUCAUUAGGGCCCACAGAUCUGAUCAUCACAAGCCAAACACAUCCUUGCUUAUCUCCCACCCAUCACACGCAAGCAAUAGAUCAUCUCUACUUGUUGCCACUUGGCUUGCUGGUCAGUAACUCAGUCAACGACUUUAACUUCAGCAGCAAAGUGCGACCAAGAACACACAAAGGCAUAGGAGCAGCUAGGCAGGAUCAUGGGUUUCACCAUGGGCUUGAACUUAGUACUUGUCCUAGCCAUGGUGGCCACCAACAUCCUUUCCCUCUACCAUCUUUCCUCCACCGUUCAAUCUCCCAAGCCCCCAUCUCAACAACCAGUACCUGACCACCUUCUCCACCAACUCAACACCAUACGCACCACCAUCAGCCACCUCACGCGCCACCAGCCACCUUCCACUACCCCAUCUCCCACCACUACCAAACCCUCCAUCCCUCAAGAUCUCCUCCUUUAUUCACACCUCUCACCUAUAGCUUCUUCUUGCCAUAACCACCCUGAUCUUCUACACAAGUACAUGGCCUACACUCCUUAUUCUCUUUGCCCUCUUGACUCUGAUCUUCUCGGUGAGUCCUUAAUCCUCCAUGGCUGCCACCCUCUCCCUCGCCGUCGAUGCUUCUCCAAAACCCCACCAAAACCACCGUCUUCUCUACCUCAUAACCCUUUCCCUUCUUCUUUUCUCGACUCCAAUGUCAUAUGGAACAAGUAUCCUACUUGCAGGUCAUUUUCUUGCCUAGCUAAGCAAAACCCAAGUCUUGGUUUUGAUCUAAAUAAUGAGAUCUCCAAGUUCAUGACCUAUAAGACUGAGUUGGAUCUCCCAAUCCCGCAGUUGCUACAAGUAGCAAAAUCAGCCAAUUCUGUUAUUAGACUUGGUAUUGAUAUUGGUGGUGCUACUGGUACUUUUGCAGCUAGAAUGAAGCAGUACAAUGUGACUGUUGUCACUACAACAAUGAAUUUCAAUGUGCCCAAUAAUGAAGUGGUGGCAAUGAGAGGCUUAGUGCCACUUCAUGUGCCAUUGCAGCACAGGUUGCCAGUUUUUGAUGGAGUGGUGGAUCUGGUCAGAUGUGGACGCGCAGUGAAUAGGUGGAUGCCUUUGACAAUAAUGGAGUUUUUGUUCUACGAUGUUGAUAGAGUGUUGAGGGGUGGUGGCUACUUGUGGUUUGAUCACUUCUUUAGCAAACGAGUAGAUCUUGAUAAGGUUUUUGGACCUUUGAUUGGGAAGUUGGGUUACAAGAAAGUAAAGUGGGCAGUCGGGAAUAAAACUGAUUCUAGUAGCUUGAAGAAUGGGGAGGUUUACUUGACUGCACUCUUGCAAAAGCCUGGGUAGAAAUGUGGAGCAGAUUUAUCACUAGAGGAAUGAUAGUCAUAAUAGCCGAGUUCGCUGCAACUACAUUUCUCUGGUUCUUACCAUGCAAUACCUUCUUCAGAAUUAAGGGCUUGCACUUGAGAAUGAAUUCAUUAGAGCCAUCUUGCAUGGCAAAUGUACAACCAGGAACAAAAAGCAUAUCAUGAGGGUGUGCCUAAAUAAAGGAAGUAUCCACUGUGCACUUCUGCUAAUUCUGGUGCCAUGUUUCACGUUCUUCAAGAGUGGCGUAAAUGCUGAAUCGAUUUCUUAACAAACAUGCAGAGCAUAAAUUGUUCCGUCCAGUCAUUUCUUAACAAACACAUCGCCACUAGUUUGCUUAAUCGAUUUGCCAUUCAUACUUUGUUCGUCAACGUUCUUGGCGACAGAUUACUGUUUCAUUAACCAUUUGCUAAUUCAAAUGGAUUGGGAGUUAUUUAGUAACUGUUUAGUGGUUGGAACUGUUGACUGUACUGUCUGGAUUAUGAGAAAAUGGUUUGCCUGUUCAGACUUCA